UUUGGUGGCUCUAGCGAAGUGGCUACACCUGAUCCCAUUCCGAACUCAGCAGUUAAGCACUUCAGCGCCGAUGGUACCUCUUACGAGGGAGAGUAGGCCGCCGCCAGAA
rnacentral:rRNA from 2 species